GCUCAACUGUGGAACUGCCUUUGAUACUGUCAGUCUAGAGUAUAGUUGAAGUUGGCGGAAUGUGUCAUGUAGCGGUGAAAUGCUUAGAUAUGACACAGAACACCGAUCGCGAAGGCAGCUAGCUAAGCUAUAACUGACGCUCAUGCACGAAAGCGUGGGGAUCAAACAGGAUUAGAUACCCUGGUAGUCCACGCUGUAAACGAUGAUUACUCGAUGUUGGCGAUACACAGUCAGCGUCUGAGCGAAAGCAAUAAGUAUUCCGCCUGGGGAGUACGGUCGCAAGAUUAAAACUCAAAGGAAUUGACGGGGACCCGCACAAGCAGCGGAGCAUGUGGUUUAAUUCGAAGCAACGCGAAGAACCUUACCUAGACUUGACAUCUCCUGAAUUACUCGUAACAGAGGAAGCCCUUCGGGGCAGGAAGACAGGUGGUGCAUGGUUGUCGUCAGCUCGUGUCGUGAGAUGUUGGGUUAAGUCCCGCAACGAGCGCAACCCUUAUCGUUAGUUGCUACCAUUAAGUUGAGCACUCUAGCGAGACUGCCUGGGUUAACCAGGAGGAAGGUGGGGAUGACGUCAAAUCAUCAUGCCCCUUAUGUCUAGGGCUACACACGUGCUACGAUGGCCGGUACAACGAGAAGCAAACCCGUGAGGGGGAGCCAAACUAAAAAACCGGUCCCAGUUCGGAUUGUAGGCUGAAACUCGCCUACAUGAAGUUGGAGUUGCUAGUAAUCGCGAAUCAGAAUGUCGCGGUGAAUACGUUCCCGGGUCUUGUACACACCGCCCGUCACACCAUGAGAGCCGGUAACACCCGAAGCCUGUGAGGUAACCGCAAGGAGCCAGCAGUCGAAGGUGGGAUUGGUGAUUGGGGUGAAGUCGUAACAAGGUAGCCG
rnacentral:rRNA from 1 species